GGAGGGUUACCCAAGUGGCUGAAGGGACUGGUUUCGAAAACCAGCAGGCGCAAGGAUCUUGCGUGCGAGAGUUCAAAUCUCUUACCCUCCU
rnacentral:tRNA from 1 species